rnacentral:lncRNA from 1 species
AGAGCUGGAAAGGGCUCGCAGAGAUGAUAUAAUGUCGUGGACUUCAACUUUUCGGGGCCAUAGACACUUUUCAGAAAUUGAUAAAACGUUGACACACCUUGUAAAAAAUGAACACAUUAAAAUUAAGCCUGCAGUUUGAGGUAAUGGAGAAGCACUGGAGAUUUGUAAGCCACGGAGUCAAAUGGUGGACUGGGAUUUUCAGGAGAUCAUUUAGAGAGCAAGAUCUUACCAAAUCCUUUAGUCAUGGUCUAUUUCGUUGCACUCAUAUGGGUGUUACUGCGAAGGUGAAGGACUAAUGACUGCAGCAGGAAAAAGAAUUGGAUGUGUCAUGAAUUAUGGCCCUGCUUAUACUUCUACUUCAACCAUAAUCAUUUGUUUAAACAAAAAGUUCUGCAUUUGAAUUGUCACAAUUGUGUGUGUGUUAUAAACAUCUCAUAUUUCAUCCAGGCUCAGCCAACACUUGCCUUUAUUAACACUCAUAAUCAAGAAAUAAAAUCUCAUACUAACCAAA